ensembl:lncRNA
AUGAGGUGUCUUACAGGAGUGGAGUGGGGAGCAGAUUUUAAGUCAUUAAAAUAUAUAUAUAUUUCAUUAAUAAGAUCUAGGUUGGAUUAUGGGAGUCAGGCAUUUGGAUCAGCAGCAAAGUCAGUAUUAGCGAGGCUGGACCAUAUUCAGGCACAGGCAUUGAGAUUAUGUCUCGGAGCCAUGAGAAUGUCACCAGUGUGCUCAUUGCAGGUAGAUGCAGGUGAAAUGCCUUUGAGCUUAAGACGGAAGCAGCUGAUUGUAAAUUACUGGAUUAGUUUGAGGGGACAAAUAGAUAGCCACCCAACCAAAAGAGUGUUGCAAGACAAUUGGGAAAGGGGAAAGGGGAACAAAUUUAGUUUUGGUUGGACAGGAGAUGAUGCUGCACGUGAUCUGGGAGUAUAUAGAAAGGAGUUUUGUAAAACUGUGGUAUGGCCCAGUAUCCCUAUGUGGAAGUAUGAUACUCCAAAAGUGGAUUUGGAGGUAUUACAGUCCAAAAUAGUAAAUAAUCAAGUUGAUUUGGUGAGUGAAUUUUAUAGACAUGUGAACCAAAAAUACGUUAAUUUUAAGCAAGUUUUUACAGAUGGAUCUAAAGACCCGAUAACAGGAGUUACAGGUGCUGCAAUUGUAAUUCCCAGCCAGAAGAGUGAGAUGAGCAAGAGAACAUCAGAUCACUUAAGUGUAUAUGCUGUUGAGAUGUUUGCCAUUUUGAUGGCAUUAGAAUGGAUAGAAUACACUAAGUCAAACAGAACUUUAAUUUGCAGCGACUCUGUCUCUGUACUGCAGAGCCUCAAGACCGGUAUGGCAAAGAAUCAUCAGGAGGUUUUUUAUGAUAUUAUGUCUGCCUAUUUAAGAAUUAAAAAUAAGGGAGAUGAUGUUAUAUUUAUGUGGGUCCCAGCACAUAUGGGUAUUAUAGAAAAUGAAAAGGUAGACAAAAUAGCUAAGAAAGCACUUCAAAAAGAGAGUAUAGAAGCAGUUAUCAGCCUUUCAAGAUCAGAAGGAAAGAGUAUAGUGUGGGGAAAAAUUAUCAAAGAAUGGCAAAAAAGGUGGGAUCAAGAACAAAAAGGAAGACAUUUAUACUCAAUUAAAAAAAGAGUUGGUACUGUGGAAAAUAAGGCAGGAAACAGAAGAGAAGAGACUAUUGUAACCAGAUUAAGAAUAGGGCAUAAUAAAUUAAAUAGCACUCUUCAUAUAAUGGGGAAACAUCCUACUGGGUUUUGUGAUCAGUGCCAAAUACCUGAGACUGUAGAACAUGUGCUUAUUAAUUGUUAA